UACAGAGGCCCCAAGCGUUACUGAGAAUCACUGGGUUUAAAGGGUGCGUAGGUGGCGUGUUAAGUCCGUUGUGAAAUCCCUGGGCUCAACCCAGGAAUUGCUUCGGAUACUGGCGUGCUUGAGGCUAGUAGGGGUCACUGGAACUGACGGUGGAGCGGUGAAAUGCGUAGAUAUCGUCAGGAACGCCGAUGGUGAAGACAGGUGACUGGGCUAGUUCUGACACUGAGGCACGAAAGCGUGGGGAGCGAACGGG
rnacentral:rRNA from 1 species